rnacentral:rRNA from 1 species
GACAGAGGUGCCGAGCGUUAGGCGGAAUCACUGGGCUUAAAGCGUGUGUAGGCGGGUCGUUAAGUGUCUUGUGAAAUCCCACCGCUCAACGGUGGAACUGCUGGGCAUACUGGCGAUCUUGAGCCACCUAGGGGCGAGCGGAACAAGCGGUGGAGCGGUGAAAUGCGUAGAUAUCGCUUGGAACGCCGACGGUGAAAACAGCUCGCUGGGGGUGUGCUGACGCUGAGACACGAAAGCCAGGGGAGCGAACGGG